rnacentral:rRNA from 1 species
UAAUCAUAUGCUACUGUUAAAGAUUAAGCCAUGCAUGUGUAAGUAUAAAUCAUUUUAUGGUGAGACUGCGAAUGGCUCAUUAAAUCAGUUAUUGUUUAUUUGAUGGUACCUUACUACUCGGAUAACCGUAGUAAUUCUAGAGCUAAUACGUGCGUAAAACUCUGUUCGCAAGGAUGGAGUGUAUUUAUUAGAUUAAAAACCAAUGCAAGGGGGCAACCUCUUGGUACAUUGAUGAAUCAUGAUAACUUCGCGAAUCGCAUGACCUAGUGUCGGCGAU